CCUACGGGAGGCUGCAGUGGGGAAUUUUGGACAAUGGGGGCAACCCUGAUCCAGCCAUGCCGCGUGCGGGAAGAAGGCCUUCGGGUUGUAAACCGCUUUUAGUCGGGAAGAAAAGGCGUGGCCUAAUACGCUGCGUUCUUGACGGUACCGGCGGAAUAAGCACCGGCUAACUACGUGCCAGCAGCCGCGGUAAUACGUAGGGUGCGAGCGUUAAUCGGAAUUACUGGGCGUAAAGCGUGCGCAGGCGGUUCGUUAAGUCUGAUGUGAAAGCCCCGGGCUCAACCUGGGAAUGGCAUUGGAAACUGGCGGGCUUGAGUGUGGCAGAGGGGGGUGGAAUUCCGCGUGUAGCAGUGAAAUGCGUAGAGAUGCGGAGGAACACCGAUGGCGAAGGCAGCCCCCUGGGCUAACACUGACGCUCAGGCACGAAAGCGUGGGGAGCAAACAGGAUUAGAUACCCCGGUAGUC
rnacentral:rRNA from 1 species